rnacentral:rRNA from 1 species
CAGUCGCCGCGGUAAUACGAAGGGGGCUAGCGUUGCUCGGAAUGACUGGGCGUAAAGGGCGCGUAGGCGGUUUAUACAGUCAGAUGUGAAAUUCCUGGGCUCAACCUGGGGACUGCAUUUGAUACGUAUGGACUUGAGUGGAGAAGAGGGUAGUGGAAUUCCGAGUGUAGAGGUGAAAUUCGUAGAUAUUCGGAAGAACACCAGUGGCGAAGGCGACUACCUGGUCUGGCAUUGACGCUCAUGUGCGAAAGCGUGGGGAGCAAACAGGAUUAGAUACCCCCGUAGUCCCUGUCUCUUAUAA